CAUCCUGAAGACUGCGACAAAUUUUAUAUAUGCAGGAAUGGGGUGCAACCUCAGAAAGGAUAUUGCGCUAACAAAACCGUGUAUAAUGAAGAAUCCUUUAGAUGUGAUGAUCCCGCUAAUGUUCCUGGAUGUGAAAACUAUUUCAGCGGAAACAAAAACUAACAUCAAACUGAAGAAAUAAUUUCCAUCCUGCAGAGGUCGUUUUCAACCCUAUAAAAUUAUUUGUGUUGUUAUUUAUUAUACUAUAAGUGUGUUACUUAUGUUAGUCGUUAAUACUAUUUGUAUUUUUGGAUGUUUCGAAAUAUUAUCUUUUAAAUCUAAAAGUGUACUUAGUAGUAUUUAAUGUAUCUGACAGCUAUGUAAUAAAUAGCUUUUCAAGAAAA